rnacentral:snRNA from 1 species
GUGCUUGCUUUGGCAACAUGUAUACUAAAAACGGAACAAUACAGAGGAGAUUAGUAUGGCCCCUGUGC